rnacentral:tRNA from 1 species
UGCGGAGUAUUAGCAGUGGUAGCUGGCUAGGUUCAUACCCUAGAGGUCGUGAGUUCGAAUCUCAUCUCCCCAA